UACGAAGGGGGCUAGCGUUGCUCGGAAUCACUGGGCGUAAAGCGCACGUAGGCGGACUCUUAAGUCGGUGGUGAAAUCCCAGAGCUCAACUCUGGAACUGCCUUUGAUACUGGGUGUCUUGAGUAUGGAAGAGGUGAGUGGAAUUCCGAGUGUAGAGGUGAAAUUCGUAGAUAUUCGGAGGAACACCAGUGGCGAAGGCGGCUCACUGGCUCGAUACUGACGCUGAGGUGCGAAAGCGUGGGGAGCAAACAGG
rnacentral:rRNA from 1 species